rnacentral:rRNA from 1 species
AUUGAACGCUGGCGGCAUGCCUUACACAUGCAAGUCGAACGGCAGCACGGGGACUUGCCCCUGGUGGCGAGUGGCGAACGGGUGAGUAAUACAUCGGAACAUGUCCUGUAGUGGGGGAUAGCACGGCGAAAGCCGGAUUAAUACCGCAGACGAUCUACUGAUGAAAGCGGGGGCCCUUCGGGCCUCGCGCUUUAGGGUUGGCCGAUGGCUGAUUAGCUAGUUGGUGGGGUAAAGGCCUACCAAGGCGACGAUCAGUAGCUGGUCUGAGAGGACGACCAGCCACACUGGAACUGAGACACGGCCCAGACUCCUACGGGAGGCAGCAGUGGGGAAUUUUGGACAAUGGGCGAAAGCUUGAUCCAGCAAUGCCGCGUGUGUGAAGAAGGUCUUCGGGUUGUAAAGCACUUUUGUCAGGAAAGAAAACCUUGGCUAUAAUACAGCCGGGGGAUGACGGUACCGGAAGAAUAAGCACCGGCUAACUACGUG